AGUGAACGCUGGCGGUAGGCCUAACACAUGCAAGUCGAACGGCAGCACAGUAAGAGCUUGCUCUUACGGGUGGCGAGUGGCGGACGGGUGAGGAAUACAUCGGAAUCUACUUUUUCGUGGGGGAUAACGUAGGGAAACUUACGCUAAUACCGCAUACGACCUACGGGUGAAAGCAGGGGAUCUUCGGACCUUGCGCGAUUGAAUGAGCCGAUGUCGGAUUAGCUGGUUGGCGGGGUAAAGGCCCACCAAGGCGACGAUCCGUAGCUGGUCUGAGAGGAUGGUCAGCCACACUGGAACUGAGACACGGUCCAGACUCCUACGGGAGGCAGCAGUGGGGAAUAUUGGACAAUGGGCGCAAGCCUGGUCCAGCCAUACCGCGUGGGUGAAGAAGGCCUUCGGGUUGUAAAGCCCUUUUGUUGGGAAAGAAAAGCAGCAGGUUAAUACCCCGCGGUUCUGACGGUACCCAAAGAAUAAGCACCGGCUAACUUCGUG
rnacentral:rRNA from 1 species